rnacentral:sRNA from 1 species
CCUGUUUCCACUCAAGAGAUCCCAACUGAUAGCCGCCUGCUUCAGCCUCAGCGGCACCAGCAGGGCGGCCGUGUCAUCAACACCAACUGCUCCGCGGUGCGCACCCGUCAGGCCCUCUGCUGCAAGAUGUCCGUGGAGUAUGACAAGUUCAUUGAGUCUGGGCGCAAGUGGUUUUGCCACGUGGAUGAUGACAAUUAUGUGAACGCCAGGAGCCUCCUGCACCUGCUCUCCAGCUUCUCACCCAGCCAGGACGUCUACCUGGGGCGGCCCAGCCUGGACCACCCCAUCGAGGCCACCGAGAGGGUCCAGGGUGGCAGAACUGUGACCACGGUCAAGUUCUGGUUUGCUACUGGUGGGGCCGGGUUCUGCCUCAGCAGAGGCCUUGCCCUCAAGAUGAGCCCAUGGGCCAGGUGAGUGGGGGUCCGGCUGCCCGGGCUGGGAGGCGGAGGCUGAGACCUGAAAGGUGCUGACCGGCCUCCCCCCAGCCUGGGCAGCUUCAUGAGCACAGCUGAGCAGGUGCGGCUGCCGGAUGACUGCACAGUGGGCUACAUCGUGGAGGGGCUCCUGGGCGCCCGCCUGCUGCACAGCACCCUCUUCCACUCUCACCUGGAGAACCUGCAGAGGCUGCCGCCCGACACCCUGCUCCAGCAGGUUACCUUGAGCUAUGGGGGUCCUGAGAACCCACAUAACGUGGUGAACGUGGCUGGAGGCUUCAGCCUGCAUCAGGACCCCACACGGUUUAAGUCUAUCCACUGCCUUCUCUACCCAGACACGGACUGGUGUCCCAGGCAGAAAC